UACGUAGGGUGCGAGCGUUGUCCGGAAUUAUUGGGCGUAAGGAGCUCGUAGGCGGUUUGGUAAGUUGGAUGUGAAAUCUCCAGGCUCAACUUGGAGGGGUCAUUCGAUACUGCCAUGACUAGAGUUCGGUAGGGGAGUGUGGAAUUCCUGGUGGAGCGGUGAAAUGCGCAGAUAUCAGGAGGAACACCCGUAGCGAAGGCGGCACUCUGGGCCGGAACUGACGCUGAGGAGCGAAAGCGUGGGGAGCGAACAGG
rnacentral:rRNA from 1 species